GGUAAAAUGGCUGAGUGCUAAGCGGUGGAUUGUAGCCCCACGAACAGAGGUUUAAAUCCUCUUUUUACCA
rnacentral:tRNA from 1 species